rnacentral:lncRNA from 12 species
GUUUGUUUCCCUAAGGAGUGCUACGAUUUUCAAGCAGGGAGAUGUGGGCUUCCUUCCAAGAGUUGGACCAAUAGGAAAGGCCGAGCCAGGUGGCAGUUUCUCUUCUUGACUAACAGAGCCUUAGGACUUUUACAUCCCUUUGAGGAUCUUCCCGAGCGAAAUUUCAUUCAUAAACUACAAAACAACAGAAAAGUCUAACAUCGAAGCUAAUAACAGUAACUUCCAAAAUUGAGGACUGAACCACAGCAGUCAAACUUAACAACCCUUUGAUCAAAUUACAAAACUGGUGACUAAAAGGAACAUGAAACCUGUGAUCCAGUUUUGCAAAAUCUUAUUUGAAAUCUUAUUCAGAUUAACACGAACAGUGUCACAUGUGCUGAAAAUGGAAAGACCGUAAAUAAAACAAACUGUUAUCUAACA